rnacentral:rRNA from 1 species
UACGUAGGGUGCGAGCGUUGUCCGGAAUUAUUGGGCGUAAAGGGCUCGUAGGCGGUUUGUCGCGUCGGGAGUGAAAACACCGGGCUUAACUCGGUGCUGGCUUCCGAUACGGGCAGACUAGAGGUAUUCAGGGGAGAACGGAAUUCCUGGUGUAGCGAUGAAAUGCGCAGAUAUCAGGAGGAACACCGGUGGCGAAGGCGGUUCUCUGGGAAUUACCUGACGCUGAGGAGCGAAAGUGUGGGGAGCGAACAGG